AUGCCCCAUGUUCAAUCAGUUUCUGCAUCUCAUAGAUUCUACUUCAUUCAUUUCUCUUCCACAUGUUCCCAGUUGAUCUGGAAAGUCAAUAACUUGUCCAUGUCUCAUCCCUCCCUAGCCAGAUUGGAUCCAGGGAUUCCAUUUCACCAUCAGGCAGGUCAAAGUACUCAUCAUCUGCCCCUACCUGUGUCUCUCCCUCCAUCUCUCCCCCUCUCUCCCCCACUCUCUGUCUCUUUGUUCUGUCUCUGUCUCUGUCUCUCUCUCCCAUUCUCUGUCUCUCUCCUGCCCCUCUCUCUGUCUCUCUGUCUCUGUCUGUCUGUCUGUCUGUCUGUCUGUCUCUCUCUCUCUCUCUCACACACACACACACACAUACACACAGCAGGUGGAAAUAACCUAUUCAACAAUGGAGUGAGGUUUGAGAUAAAGUCUAGGUGCCCCAAUCAUGCCUCAGCUGCUCUAAUCAGCCUGGCUCCAGAUUCCAUUGACCCCUUUCCUGACCACCAGGUAGCCAUAAACUCUCACUGCCAUCUUGCUGGGGGUCUGAUAAGCAAACCAACAUGAUCUCUGCUCCUAUGAAAUCUUGACAGAGUUUCUCUAGAGGUCCUCUUAGUGCCCUUGUAUAUCUGAGAUGAAGCCCCCUUCCCUAGUGACCCCUCGAAGAUCCCUCAUCCCCACCCAUGCCAGUGUGCCAUGCCACCCUUCCCUCU
rnacentral:lncRNA from 1 species